GCAGGGCGAGGCUCCAACGUUCGGGAACCACUUCAGCGUGCCCCGCCCCUGCAGGUCCUAGCCCGUUUUCUCCCCUCAAAUCAAUAGUUUCCUUGUAAGUUUCCUUGUAUUUUAUGAUUGUAAGAAGAAAACUGCUUUCAAAAAGUGCCUGCUCCCUGCAAAACUGAUAGAACUUUAGACAAUACCAGCAAUCAGCAAGAUUUCAGAACAAGGAUAAAAAUGAUUUCUGUGGGAAGAUCUCAGUAUACCCCACAAAUAGGUGCCUUUGGAACAUCCAUGUGUCAACAUCAAGUUUGCUGCUGUAAAUGUUUGUCCGAAACCCAGGAAAGAGGUAGAGCAGG